UACUUGACGGUCGAUCGUGCCGGGUUUCCUUCGUGGUGUCUUAAGGUGUCGCGUCUGUUUUUUGUUGUUUUGGGGUUGUUUCGGUUUUCCUGGCGCGGACAGACAACAAUUUAUGAUCUGCGGUGCAAAGUUUUACCGCCAGAACUGGACUAUGUUUGAAAGCAUCUCU